rnacentral:rRNA from 1 species
AUUGAACGCUGGCGGCAUGCUUUACACAUGCAAGUCGAACGGCAGCGCGGGCUUCGGCCUGGCGGCGAGUGGCGAACGGGUGAGUAAUGCAUCGGAACGUGCCCAGUAGUGGGGGAUAGUCCGGCGAAAUCCGGAUUAAUACCGCAUACGACCUGAGGGUGAAAGCGGGGGACCGAAAGGCCUCGCGCUAUUGGAGCGGCCGAUGUCGGAUUAGCUAGUUGGUGGGGUAAAGGCUUACCAAGGCGACGAUCCGUAGCUGGUCUGAGAGGACGACCAGCCACACUGGGACUGAGACACGGCCCAGACUCCUACGGGAGGCAGCAGUGGGGAAUUUUGGACAAUGGGGGCAACCCUGAUCCAGCCAUGCCGCGUGCGGGAAGAAGGCCUUCGGGUUGUAAACCGCUUUUGUUCGGGAAGAAAUCCUCUGGGCUAAUACCCCGGGGGGAUGACGGUACCGGAAGAAUAAGCACCGGCUAACUACGUG